UAAGAAUGGGUUUCGUUCUAGUGCUCAAAAAUAAUAUUCCAAAGCUUUCGUGUGUUCUCCAUUACUUGUGUGGAUAAGCCCUAUAUUAUAGAGUAUAUAACUUCGAUCAUAGGGAUCAAUUUCUAGUCGCAUAGCUUCAUAAUAAUUCUGCAAAGCUUCCGCGUAAUUUCCUUCGGAUUGAGCCGACAUCCGUUACGGUCGUCAUUCAAUUGAAAGAAUCUCCGUUCCAGAACCGUACGUGAGAUUUUCACCUCAUACGGCCCAUCCCUUAUGUGCAUAAUGAGAAUAAUACAUAGAAUCAAAAAGAUUCAACGAUGAAAAUAUUCUCAUUAUGAACUCAGCAGGGCUAGUGUUUUUACAAGAAAUCUCUAGCCAACCUUCCUGCAGGAGAUUCUUUCUUAACAUCAAGCCUAUUGGGACUAGAUAGAAAUGAUAAGAUAACUCCAACAAUUUCUUUGUUUUUAACGCCUCCUAAUUUCCAAAAAUUAGUCACUUCAAUAGCCUUCGAUGGUUAUACGGGUAUCCGAAGGACGAACGAGAUGGAUGUUUGUUGUCCCAACCAUUCUUUUAGUCCCAAGCCCGCUAAGAAAAGGGCUGACUUAGAACAAAGUUUUCGUGUUGUUGAUUCCUAGGUGCAGUGAUUCUUCCCCUAUGCUGCCUAUUAGCGCUAGUAGAGUAGGAUUGACCUGUAAUACAGAACCUCUAGGCGUAACCUUUCGCUUAAUACUAGAAUCGAGAAUCGAAACAUAGCAUCUGAGGUUUCAUUAAUCGAGGAUACAUGACAGAAGGAAUUGUUAUAUUUCCAAACAUCACCUUCAAAAAGCGUAGAUUUUUUUUUCAAAAUUUUUCUCGAAUCACGUGUUUUUCUCCUCAUAAGACUGAGAGAAAUGAAUAAAUAUGAAAUAAUAAAAAAAAAGAAUCAAAUCGCACCAUCUCUGUAAUAGGUAAAUGCCUCUUUUUCUCCUGAAGUUGUCGGAAUUACUCGUAAUAAGAUAUCGGCUACAAUUGAAAAGGUCUUAUCAAUAAAAUUUCAAUUUAUCCGUGAUCUAGGCAUAGGUAGCAAUCCAUUCUAGAAUUCUUCUCAUUACCUCUCAUGGGAAAAAGAUCCCACAAAGAAAAGAAUUGUAUAGUACGAAAUAACAUAAAAACUUCUUUUUUUUUUAAGAAAAAAACAAAAGAUAUGA
rnacentral:lncRNA from 1 species